GCCAAUUCUAGGAGUGGAGCAAAUGUGCUACUCCACACGAUGAGUGUUGAGGUUGUAGGAUUUGAGCGAGUCAAGGAACAAUACCCCACCUGUCCAGAUUUUGGUGUACUUUUCACUUCCUUGAGUGGAGACUCUCCUACCAAUCGCUUAGAUUACCUCCUUAAAGAUGGCUUCCUUUUCAAAGGAAGUAGGUUGUGCAUUCCCAGAACUUCACUUCGAGAUUUCUUGAUCUGGGAAUUGCAUUGCUGGUGGAGUUGUCGGUCAUUUUGGUCGAGGCAAGACCAUUGCUCUUGUUGAGGACCGAUUUUACUGAUCAUGCUUGAAGAGGGAUGUAGCUAGAGUUGUUAGCCAAUGUAGGACAUGUCAGACUGCUAAGCAACAGAAACAGAACAUUGGCCUAUAUACCCUCUUCCUAUGCCUCACACCCCAUGGCAAGACCUCAGCAUGGACUUUGUGCUUGGUCUGCCGAAAACUUCGAGGGGCCAUGAUUCUAUCUUUGUGGUUAUAGACUGCUUCUC